AAAACGACUCUCGGCAACGGAUAUCUCGGCUCUCGCAUCGAUGAAGAAGCUAGCGAAAUGCGAUACUUGGUGUGAAUUGCAGAAUCCCGUGAACCAUCGAGUCUUUGAAGCCAAGUUGCGCCCCAAGCCUUCUGGCCGAGGGCACGUCUGCCUGGG
rnacentral:rRNA from 1 species